UGCAACUCGCCUACAUGAAGUCGGAAUUGCUAGUAAUCGCGGAUCAGCAUGCCGCGGUGAAUACGUUCCCGGGCCUUGUACAUACCGCCCGUCACACCAUGGGAGUCGGUAACACCCGAAGCCUGUAGUCUAACCGCAAGGAGGACGCAGUCGAAGGUGGGAUUGAUGACUGGGGUGAAGUCGUAACAAGGUAGC
rnacentral:rRNA from 1 species